rnacentral:lncRNA from 1 species
GCCCUGCAGAGGCCAAAUAAGGGUAUCGUACAUUAUUUUUUUUUAGCCUGGGGGCAGGGAGAAGCCUUUCACAGAGGCAAUAUCAGCCUCUUGCAGCUGGAGAUCUCCCGAGAGAGGAUCGGCACCAAACGGGAUCGGCACGGGCUGUUUGCAGAGCAGAGAUCCCGUGCCCAGCCCCGUGGAACAAAUCCCAGCACCGGGGGAAUAAAACCCACGGGGGGAAAAAUCGGGGGCGCAGAGCCCACGGCUCCCACCUGCUGCUCCUGCAAGGGGGAAACAACCCCUGGACCGCUGGAUUUUCUACGGACACGCACAGGAGAGGCUGAUCCCACUCGUCCCACUGCCAGGUUGGGGGCACAGCACCCCAAAACCCACAUUAGGGAUGGGUUUGCAUCCACCAGCACCAAUUUUCUCCGAGAAAACGCAGCAGUGCCAGGUCAGGCACCCAGCAGGGCUCAAUCCCUGCAGCCUGAAGGGCUUGGACGUCCCCUCAAAGAUCUUGGACAUCCCCUUGAAGGGCUUUUACAUCCCCUCGAAGGGCUUGCACAUCCCCUUGAAGGCUUUGCACGUCCCUUUUCCUGCCCAAGGGCUGCAGGAAUCCCGUCCUUCCAGCUUUCUGCCCAGGGCCGGCACCCACGAGACAUUCCUCCCUCUUUAAGAGGCUUUUCACUUUUUUUUCUUGCAAAGCCCUUAUUAAAAAGGACCAGAGCAGAACCUUCUCCCGGUCCUCUGAGCGGCCACAACCUCAGCCCUCGAGCAGCAGCAGAGCUUUCCUCUUCAGUGGCUGCUCAGAAGAGGCUCGCAGCAGCGCCGGCUGCUUUCGUUUUGCAAAACGACUGCCAGCAGGAAAUGAUGUUAAAAAAAAAAGCCAAAAAAAAACAUUUAAGGCAGGCAGCAGGUCCAAAAAGUAACUUUUUUUUUUUUUUUUUUUUGCCCUGGGAAGCCCAAGGAGGCCGAGUGCUGCCUGAACUUGCUGCAGCCACUUUGGUUAUUUGGGGGGGAGAUGACAAAUAA